UGAAAGAAUUUAUUUUAGCUUAUGGUUCCAGA
rnacentral:piRNA from 1 species